AAAAGACAUGCAAUACAUUUAAUACGUUAAUAAUCAUUACUGAUUCUGCUUAUAAUGUUUCUGAUCCUGAGCACUCUGGGCAAGAGCUUUAUCUCAUGGACUAUGAGAUUUUUGUUUGUGUGCAGAAUGCUUCCUUUUUGUUUUUUUCUAGGGAGUCCUCCAUAAACCCCACCUAGUGCUCAUCAGUUUUAGGUCCCUAAUUGCAGCCAUAGGGCCGUGGGCGAGGGAGAUCCCGGCUAAAUCAGCCACUUUACGUGCUUCGGUUCUGUCCUUUAAUACUUAAAGUGGCUCAGUAAGUUUGGGCUCAGAGACUUGGAUUUUAUUUCUGAAUUUUCCUUAGACUGGCCAAUUAACUUUAACUUACCUAACUUCUCUGGUGAUCAUCUGCCUCAAGUGUAAAAUGGGAAUUGGCUAAAGGAUUAAAUGAUACUCAGUAAUGUUUGGAACUGAGGGGCCUUAUAGCCAAGCAAAAUGUUCCUUGUCCUGGAACUGUAGAAUGUAGUGGGGAGAUUUCAGGGUCUAUGCCAUUCUCUUGGCCACCCCGGUAUGAUUUUCAAGGGCUUUUAUUACAGCCUAGAGGAGCUCUUGACUGGGGAACGUUAAGCAUCCUUUGGGAGUGGUGGGGGUGGGAAGAAUACCACAGGACUGGUGGCACUAUCUUACUACUUUAUGUACUUGCUUUCCUUUCUUCCCCACUGACUGGACAUUUUGGUCAUUAUUUAUUUAUUAUCAUUUGUUUGUUAUUUUUUUAGAGAUAGAGUUUUACUCCCACCCAGGCUGGAGUGCAGUGGUGCGAUCAUAGCUCACUAUAGCCUCCACCUCCUAGGCC
rnacentral:lncRNA from 1 species